rnacentral:rRNA from 1 species
GAUGAACGCUGGCGGCGUGCCUAAUACAUGCAAGUCGAGCGAACAGACGAGGAGCUUGCUCCUCUGACGUUAGCGGCGGACGGGUGAGUAACACGUGGAUAACCUACCUAUAAGACUGGGAUAACUUCGGGAAACCGGAGCUAAUACCGGAUAAUAUAUUGAACCGCAUGGUUCAAUAGUGAAAGACGGUUUUGCUGUCACUUAUAGAUGGAUCCGCGCCGCAUUAGCUAGUUGGUAAGGUAACGGCUUACCAAGGCAACGAUGCGUAGCCGACCUGAGAGGGGGAUCGGCCACACGGGAACUGAGACACGGUCCAGACUCCUACGGGAGGCAGCAGUAGGGAAUCUGCCGCAAUGGGCGAAAGCCUGACGGAGCAACGCCGCGUGAGUGAUGAAGGUCUGCGGAUCGUAAAACUCUGUUAUUAGGGAAGAACAAAUGUGUAAGUAACUAUGCACGUCUGGACGGUACCUAAUCAGAAAGCCACGGCUAACUACGU